GAACCUUGUUGCUAGUUCUGGUUC
rnacentral:siRNA from 1 species